GACGAACGCUGGCGGCGUGCUUAACACAUGCAAGUCGAGCGGAGAUAUAUUGAAGAUUCGUCGGAUAUAUAUCUUAGCGGCGGACGGGUGAGUAACGCGUGGGCAAUCUGCCUCAUACAGGGGGAUAACACUGGGAAACUAGUGCUAAUACCGCAUAAAAUAAUGAAGUGGCAUCACUUUAUUAUCAAAGGAGCAAUCCGGUGUGAGAUGAGCCCGCGUCCGAUUAGCUAGUUGGUGGGGUAACGGCCUACCAAGGCGACGAUCGGUAGCCGAACUGAGAGGUUGAUCGGCCACAUUGGGACUGAGACACGGCCCAGACUCCUACGGGAGGCAGCAGUGGGGAAUAUUGCGCAAUGGGGGAAACCCUGACGCAGCAACGCCGCGUGAAGGAUGAAGGUUUUCGGAUUGUAAACUUCUUUGAUGAGGGACGAUAAUGACGGUACCUCAAAAACAAGCCACGGCUAACUACGUG
rnacentral:rRNA from 1 species